AUUUCUUGCCGUAGUUUGCAGUCUUCACUUUUCUUCUCGUUUCGGUCUGAAUUACCUGAACGUUUAGAAGAUAUAACGCUAUAAGAAAGCAAGUGGACAAAUAUGAAUUAUAAAAUACGAGCUGCAAGAAAAGAAGACUGCAAAGACAUUGCACGAAUGAUCAUGGAGCUGGCCGUUUUUGAAAAAAUGCCAGACCAAGUAAAGAUUUCUUACCAAGAGCUGGAACGUGAUGGUUUCUGUCAAAAUCCUUUUUUUGAAUGUCUCCUUGCUGAGGUGUCUGAUGAGCAGAUAUCUAAAUGUGGUCACACAGUAGUUGGAUAUGCGCUUUACUUUUACACUUACAGUACAUGGAAGGGAAGAACAGUUUACAUUGAAGACCUCUAUGUGAUGCCUGAAUUCAGAGGUAAUGGCAUUGGCAAAAGCCUGAUGAGCAAAGUGGCAAAGAUUGCAGUAGAGAAGCAAUGUGUGCGUCUCCAGCUGUCUGUUUUAGACUGGAAUUCUCAAGCCCGAGAUUUCUACGCCGCUAAAGGGGCGGAGGACCUCACUGAUAGCCAAGGAUGGCACUUUAUACGAUUUGAUGGCUUAAGUCUUGAUAACUUGGUGAAGGAAGCUCCUCAAGAUUAAGCUGUUGCUGGGCACAGACUGAGAUGGUGCCGUAACUGAAAAGACAUGGCCUCUAGAGGAUGGCUGGAGACAUGCCCCUCCACAAAUGGCCAGUGUUGCUGAAGACCAACCAAUGUACAGGGCCUCUCCAAUCUCAUACCUAGGGAUUUAGAAGGUAAUUUAGCGACUUUAUGAAUAUAAUGUAUUAGUAUGAUUUGACGUACUUUGUCCCUGGAUAGAACUGGUCAAAAAACUGCUGUGUGAUGUUGGCUGCAUACCAGGACACAGCAAUCAUGGUGCAAAUUCCUAAAAAAAAAACAAAAAAAACAAAGCAAUAAAAUUAGAAUUAGCAACUCACUUUGGGAUUCACCAUAUUUUCUUAAAUAAGAAAAUAUGGUGAAUCCAUUGGUGACCCAUGUUUCAUUCUCCUGGCACUAAGUCAACUUUCUUCAAUCAUGUCAAUAAUACUUGUAUUAAUAUGAAGUGUUACUGUUUAUGUUUAACUUCAUUAGUAACAAUUUCUUCCAUUCAAACUACUCAUUAUAGAUAAAUAUAUAUCAUGUAGUUUAUAAUCAAAUAGACCAAUGUAAACAUGGGUUGGUGUAGGCUUUUGUGUCACAGCUCAGUUAGAUAAUCCUGUGAACAAGUGACUCAUUCAGUGAUAGCUUUUGUAAACACAGAGUUUCAGACCUAAGUGUUUUUACAUCAACCGAGACUGCACUGAAAUACUGUAGAUGAAAUGAUUUUUUUAAGUAAGAGUGAGACUUUACUAUGUGCCCAACCGAUUCAAUCCCUAAUGUUAAGAUAUUGUUGUAUUUACCUUGCAAUAGAAAGAACACUCCUCCUAUGGCAGCAAUCCUUCCUUUUAGGACAUAGUUUUCUCCUCCGAUUUUUGAACACUGCAUUCCAACCAGAGUCGCUACAAGACCAAAUGUCCCGAAGACGAUGGAUGCAAUCAUGAGAGCCCGUGAGGCCUGGAUGUACCCUGCACACAGACAUAGCAGUAACACGUUAAGGUUAGGGUUAGUUUUAACUUACCUGUUUCAGUAAGUACUAUUGUAAAAGUAUAGAAAAACAGUAUCUCUCAAGAAUACAUUCAGUAUAACGUUGUGUACAAGAUAGCUACUUGGACCUUUUCAAAAACAUAACCCUUGCAUUUUACAAUCAAAUAAAAAUAAAAUGACUGUUGAUAAGAGAGAAGUUCUUUUAUAUUCUCAGUUAUCAUCUUAAAAGAGACCCUGGUCUCAUUCUUAUAAGUCAGUCUUAUCAACUGUUAUCUAUUUAUUAUGACUAUUAUAGUCUAUUAUACUAUUAUGAAUCAUACUGCACUCAGCUUAAAUAUAUCUAAAAUAAUCAACAAACAAACAGAUAUAAGGCAAUGUCCACCGAUAUCUGACCAGAAGUGAACAAGCAACUUGGAUGAGCGGCAAAAUGCCUUCACCAUAAAACUUUUGUCCAGUUGACAGAAUUUUAUUUAUUUAUUUUUUUAAACAAGUUAUGCUAUUUUGUUCCACCUUGUUGACAACAACAGCAUUAUUCCGCUGCAAUCAUCAGUGGCAUGUUUAUCACCAGUCUUUUGGCUUGGAGCCUGAUUAGUAGCUAUUAAUAAAUAAAUAAACUCACUAUAUCACUGAAGCACAUACCAUUCAGUGCCAGUAAUGAUGGAAAGUCACGGCAGUUGUGGACUCCUGUCGAGUCUGUGGCACAGGACAUCCAGAGGUUCUCGUAGAUGGUGGAUGUGGUGAUAACAUUACCCUCCACUGUGGACACCUUCCAGUUUCGAUUAGACAGAGCAAUCCCAACCAUCAGCCAGCCCAGAAAACCAAGAAAGAAUGCAAACACCUCCACUAUGGCAUUCAUUUUUGCCUAAUUUUACACUCCAAGUUAAAAAGAAAGUUUUACAGACUCAAACAGCCCUUCUGUGUGAAUUCAGUCUCUGACCUAUUUGUUUGGCAGUGCAGUGUCGGAGUGCUUCUCCCAUCCCCAGAAACAGUCCUCUGAAACCUGAGAUCAAUGAUUAAUGCCAACUUAUAAUUUCCCCAUUAUUCUCCUCUCUAUUCAGCCUCUUUCAAGACUAAACGAAUGUUUGCUUAACUUGAGAGACAACAGAAAAAUCCAACCUUUGCACUGGCGUCUAUAUACCCAAAGUCAUUAGUCACAUCCUGACACCUGCUUUGAACAGUCUGUCAAGAUUAUCAAACUCUUAUUGAUGAGAUGCAGGUCUCGUGUGCUCCUCAUUACACAGGGGGCUGAUGGGAAACGUCUCAGCGUGAGGCUGCAGAGUGACUGACCUGCAGAUGACCAGCUUCACAGAUAAAACUAUUUGCCUCUCACAGCCAUGCCCUAACAGCAACUAUCACUGUACCUUUACUCAAUAAAGCUCAAUGCAAUAUGCCAUGAGAAAAUCCUCAAUCAAAAAUACUCAAAGUAAUGAGCAUAUGAUGCGUCACAGUCCUUAACAGCAUGUCUUUAACAGUAUUUAUUUGCUGCAAGUUGCAAUAAAGCAUUAAUUUUAAACUGUAUUUAGAAAUUGUAUUCUUUCCAUUUCAUUACUAAAUUACCAGUGAUACUUGUAAUGUUGUAUUUAUUUUUCUCAAGGAGGCUUGUAAAAAUGAUUAUCACUCUGGUGUUCCUGAAUAUUAUGAUCUGUGCAAUUGCUUUACUAAUUACAAAUCUGUUUGGGAAGAAUACUCUGAAAAUGUAUUUACAGAAUUACAGUUACAGAAUACAGAAUACCUGCAUUAAAAUGUAUUUUAUAAUGUAUUCUCAUACAUGUUUCAGUCAGAGUAUUCAGAAUACUUUUACAUUAAGUUUCAUUGAUUCAUUUUGAAUAUAUUUUCUGGUAGAUGUAUUUCCUGCCUUAUGUUAUGUCAACUGUGCCCAUCCAGAGAAUCUUAUGUAUAUG